ACUGAACGCUGGCGGCAGGCUUAACACAUGCAAGUCGAGCGGGGGAAGGUAGCUUGCUACCGGACCUAGCGGCGGACGGGUGAGUAAUGCUUAGGAAUCUGCCUAUUAGUGGGGGACAACAUCUCGAAAGGGAUGCUAAUACCGCAUACGUCCUACGGGAGAAAGCAGGGGAUCUUCGGACCUUGCGCUAAUAGAUGAGCCUAAGUCGGAUUAGCUAGUUGGUGGGGUAAAGGCCUACCAAGGGGACGAUCUGUAGCGGGUCUGAGAGGAUGGUCCGCCACACUGGGACUGGGACACGGCCCAGACUCCUACGGGAGGCAGCAGUGGGGAAUAUUGGACAAUGGGGGGAACCCUGAUCCAGCCAUGCCGCGUGUGUGAAGAAGGCCUUAUGGUUGUAAAGCACUUUAAGCGAGGAGGAGGCUACUUUAGUUAAUACCUAGAGAUAGUGGACGUUACUCGCAGAAUAAGCACCGGCUAACUCUGUGCCAGCAGCCGCAGUAA
rnacentral:rRNA from 1 species